AGGACGAACGCUGGCGGCGUGCUUAACACAUGCAAGUCGAACGGAAAGGCCCGCUUGCGGGUACUCGAGUGGCGAACGGGUGAGUAACACGUGGGCAACCUGCCCCCAGCUUCGGGAUAACAUUUGGAAACAGGUGCUAAUACCGGAUAAUAACCUUUCAUCGCAUGGUGUGGGGUUCAAAGUUUUUCGGCUGGGGAUGGGCCCGCGGCCUAUCAGCUUGUUGGUGGGGUAAUGGCCUACCAAGGCGACGACGGGUAGCCGGCCUGAGAGGGCGACCGGCCACACUGGGACUGAGACACGGCCCAGACUCCUACGGGAGGCAGCAGUGGGGAAUAUUGCGCAAUGGGCGGAAGCCUGACGCAGCGACGCCGCGUGAGGGAUGACGGCCUUCGGGUUGUAAACCUCUUUCAGCUCUGACGAAGCGCAAGUGACGGUAGGAGCAGAAGAAGCACCGGCCAACUACGUGCCAGCAGCCGC
rnacentral:rRNA from 1 species